AACGAACGCUGGCGGCAGGCUUAACACAUGCAAGUCGAGCGCCCCGCAAGGGGAGUGGCAGACGGGUGAGUAACGCGUGGGAAUCUACCCAGAUCUACGGAACAACAGUUGGAAACGACUGCUAAUACCGUAUACGCCCUACGGGGGAAAGAUUUAUCGGAUUUGGAUGAGCCCGCGUAAGAUUAGCUAGUUGGUGGGGUAAUGGCCUACCAAGGCGACGAUCUUUAGCUGGUCUGAGAGGAUGAUCAGCCACACUGGGACUGAGACACGGCCCAGACUCCUACGGGAGGCAGCAGUGGGGAAUAUUGGACAAUGGGCGCAAGCCUGAUCCAGCCAUGCCGCGUGAGUGAUGAAGGCCUUAGGGUUGUAAAGCUCUUUCAGUAGGGAAGAUAAUGACGGUACCUACAGAAGAAGCCCCGGUUAACUUCGUGCCAGCAGCCGCCGUAAUAC
rnacentral:rRNA from 1 species